rnacentral:tRNA from 1 species
CGAAGCGUAGCGCAGCCCGGUAGCGCACCUGGUUUGGGACCAGGGGGUCGUCAGUUCGAACCUGACCGUUUCGAC